GGGCCCGCACAAGCGGUGGAGUAUGUGGUUUAAUUCGAUGCAACGCGAAGAACCUUACCAGGGUUUGACAUCCUGCGAAUCUCUUGGAAACAGGAGAGUGCCUUCGGGAACGCAGUGACAGGUGGUGCAUGGCUGUCGUCAGCUCGUGUCGUGAGAUGUUGGGUUAAGUCCCGCAACGAGCGCAACCCACGUCUUUAGUUGCCAGCAUUUAGUUGGGCACUCUAGAGAGACUGCCGGUGAUAAACCGGAGGAAGGUGUGGAUGACGUCAAGUCAUCAUGCCCCUUACAUCCUGGGCUACACACGUACUACAAUGCUACGGACAAAGAGCAGCUAACUCGCGAGAGUACGCAAAUCUCAUAAACCGUGGCUCAGUUCAGAUCGUAGGCUGCAACUCGCCUACGUGAAGGCGGAAUCGCUAGUAAUCGCAGGU
rnacentral:rRNA from 1 species